rnacentral:rRNA from 1 species
UACGAAGGGUGCAAGCGUUAAUCGGAAUUACUGGGCGUAAAGGGUGCGUAGGCGGUUCGUUAAGUCUGUUGUGAAAUCCCCGGGCUCAACCUGGGAAUGGCAAUGGAUACUGGCGGGCUAGAGUGUGUCAGAGGAUGGUGGAAUUCCCGGUGUAGCGGUGAAAUGCGUAGAGAUCGGGAGGGACAUCAGUGGCGAAGGCGGCCAUCUGGGACAACACUGACGCUGAAGCACGAAAGCGUGGGGAGCAAACAGG